UACAGAGACUGCAAGCGUUAUCCGGAUUUACUGGGUUUAAAGGGUGCGUAGGUGGGUUGGUAAGUCAGUGGUGAAAUACUUUCGCUUAACGAAGGAACUGCCAUUGAUACUACCAGUCUUGAAUACAGUGGAGGUAGGCGGAAUGCGUCAUGUAGCGGUGAAAUGCUUAGAUAUGACGCAGAACACCAAUUGCGAAGGCAGCUUGCUACACUGUUAUUGACACUGAGGCACGAAAGCGUGGGGAUCAAACAGG
rnacentral:rRNA from 1 species